rnacentral:tRNA from 1 species
AAGGUCUUAAUUUAAUAAAAAUAUCUGAAUUGCACUCAGGUUAUGUAAGUUAGUAUCUUGCAAAUCUUA